rnacentral:rRNA from 1 species
GGAAUAUUGGACAAUGGGCGCAAGCCUGAUCCAGCCAUGCCGCGUGAGUGAUGAAGGUCUUAGGAUUGUAAAGCUCUUUCACCGGUGAAGAUAAUGACGGUAACCGGAGAAGAAGCCCCGGCUAACUUCGUGCCAGCAGCCGCGGUAAUACGAAGGGGGCUAGCGUCGUUCGGAUUUACUGGGCGUAAAGCGCACGUAGGCGGACUUUUAAGUCAGGGGUGAAAUCCCGGGGCUCAACCCCGGAACUGCCUUUGAUACUGGAAGUCUUGAGUUCGAGAGAGGUGAGUGGAAUUGCGAGUGUAGAGGUGAAAUUCGUAGAUAUUCGCAGGAACACCAGUGGCGAAGGCGGCUCACUGGCUCGAUACUGACGCUGAGGUGCGAAAGCGUGGGGAGCAAA